AUUGAACGCUGGCGGCAUGCUUUACACAUGCAAGUCGAACGGCAGCGCGGGCUUCGGCCUGGCGGCGAGUGGCGAACGGGUGAGUAAUACAUCGGAGCGUGCCCAGUAGUGGGGGAUAGCCCGGCGAAAGUCGGAUUAAUACCGCAUACGACCUGUGGGUGAAAGCGGGGGAUCUUCGGACCUGGCGCUAUUGGAGCGGCCGAUGUCAGAUUAGCUAGUUGGUGGGGUAAAGGCCUACCAAGGCGACGAUCUGUAGCUGGUCUGAGAGGACGACCAGCCACACUGGGACCGAGACACGGCCCAGACUCCUACGGGAGGCAGCAGUGGGGAAUUUUGGACAAUGGGCGAAAGCCUGAUCCAGCAAUGCCGCGUGUGUGAUGAAGGCCUUCGGGUUGUAAAGCACUUUUGGCGGGAACGAAAAGGACUGUGCCAAUACCACGGUUCGAUGACGGUACCCGCAGAAUAAGCACCGGCUAACUACGUG
rnacentral:rRNA from 1 species